rnacentral:rRNA from 1 species
UGCAGAGGGUGCGAGCGUUAAUCGGAAUUACUGGGCGUAAAGCGUGCGUAGACGGUUACGUAAGUCAGGUGUGAAAGCCCCGGGCUCAACCUGGGAAUUGCAUUUGAGACUGCAUAGCUAGGGUGCGGAAGAGGGAAGCGGAAUUUCCGGUGUAGCGGUGAAAUGCGUAGAUAUCGGAAGGAACAUCAGUGGCGAAAGCGGCUUCCUGGUCCAGCACCGACGUUCAGGCACGAAAGCGUGGGGAGCAAACAGG